AUGAAUGAGAAUGCUGCAGCUGACAAGUUACAUUUAGAGAAACAUAGUACGUGUUUGGCUAUUGAUAUAUUCAACACUCAUCAUCCACUCCUCUCUCAGUCUCUCUCUGAUCCUGUCAGUGUAGCUAUUGUGCUUCAAAGAGAGGGUGUCAUAACAAGACAAGUAUUGGCUAA